GGUUACUUUAAUUCCAUCACCGCUCUUUUUUCUAGUUGCUAAUCUGGAGCACGGGACUGGGUGGUACACAUUAACAACCAAAACUUCAACUAAGGCUAACUCAAAACUCAGGCUACUCAAAAGUUCAUGACCUACAAAAGAAGAGUAGUUCUAGCAACAGAAAUUGCAGAAAGGAUAGAGAAACACCUUCUGUAAUAAAGAAACUCACUCUCCCUUCUUCACAAAUUAUCCAUUUCUUCAAUUAACUAGACAAGACAUCAAAUACACAACUGCAACUUCAGCUCUGACCAACCUCCCAAAACACCUCUAUUUUCAAUCUUUCCCAGGCCCAAGGAGAACAGAAUUCACAAAUUAUGCUAAUACAAAAUACGGGCUACUUUCUCAGAAAACUCAUAAAUGUUCAAAUAUAUGGUAAGACCAUUACACAAGCUCAACAAAUAAAAAGAAAUUGCCUGUUAGUGAAAUAACAAAAACAUCCACAAAAAAAUAUACAAAUUAACUAAGAUUUAAAAAGUUCAAUCUGAGCUUUGGAACAGAGAAAUGAAACUUCAACUGAAAAGCAAGAGAGUCUAGGCUUUGGAGUCAAACAGAUUAGAGUUCUGUUAGUUCCAUCACAUUACUAAAUGUGUAACCUUAAGACAAAUUCCUUAAUUCUUCAAUUCUGUUUCCUCAAUAAAACAAAGAGAAUACUA